AGUUAAUUGAUGUAGAAGAGGCAUGAAGAAAGAGGGAAUUUCAUGCAUGCAAGACAGAAAGCUGGGUACAUCAUCUGUCAAUCAAGGUGAACAUUCCAAAUAGAAUGUUCCCAGGAAAGUCAGUUGGAGCCUGGCCAAGAGAUGAACUGAGAGACUUCCUUGACUUCUGACCAAGGGGGAGACUUCCUUGGUUUCUAACCAAGGGAGUGACUGGCUUUUUUCUGACCUAGGAUGAGACUUUGGUGUGGCUGAUGUUCAUGAUUGAUUGCUAUAUACUGGGCUGGUCUAUUAGCUAUCAGUAGUGAUCAAUAGGCACCCACUGAUACUAUCCCUGGUAGUAGUAUCUCCAUUACAACUAGGCACCCUCAGGUUUCCCCUAGUACCUCUCUAGUCAAGCCAGAGUAUCUCAGUUAUUUCAACCAGAAAUAUCUCCAAGAUUAUCUAUUCUAAUACAUCAAGAAUUCUCUUUCCUUCUGAAAAGAAGGCAAUAUUCAAAAAUCCUUUACACACCUCUGUUUUCUGCCACCUCUACUUCAGAAACAUCCCUGACAACACAGCAGGAAUAUACUGGGGACUUCCAGGUUAACAUGGCUGCAAUCUAGACAUGAAUCACUUCCUCUCCCCAGCACCAAACGAAAUAGACUACCUCAAAAGAGCAUAAAAAUCACCUUUGGAAGAACAGAGAGACUCUCCAGUACCCCACAGAAACGAAGGUACGUGGGGCUUGAACAUUUCCACACUAUAAGAAGGAGGAAAAGCUUGCAUAAAAACAUGAACUGAGCCACCUUUCCCCCCUACCCCCACCAAACCAGAAUAAGGUAUCAGAGAGAUCACUGGGGCAGCGAGUGAGUGAGGAACGUCUCUGUCUGGGGGGGCACACCAGGUUCCUUGGGAUCUAAAGACUGCAAGGAAAGGACCUCUCAGGGCCUUUUCACGGGAGAAUCCUGGGCUGAGCAAAGGGGAGGCCGCGCUGAACACAGGGACUGUUGCUCUGAGUAAUGGGGAGGCCGCGCUGAGCAAAGGGGUGGCCUUGCUGAACAUGGGAGAGGUUGCGCUGAGCAAAGGGGUGGCCAUGCUGAGCAAGGGGCCACCGCAUUGAGCAGAGGGCCACUGCACUGAACACAGGGGCUGUUAGGCUUAGAACAGGGGCCUGUGCACUAAGAAAACCGGUCCAUAUCACCCAGACCCCAGACAAAAAAGGAAAGGGGAAAAAAACCACCAAUGGGAUGGCGCACAUGGCCCAAAAUCAAGCCUCCAGGAAGAAAGGGAAAAAGAUGACUAUUGAAAACUUUUAUGGUGGAAGUACCCAAGGUAAAGAAGAGAAAGAGGAUGAAACCAAAAAACAAUCAAAACAUGCCUCCCAAAAUGGAAAUUAUCCACAAGCUCUGGAAGAACUCAAAUUGGAGCUUACCCAAAAUAUGGAAACCUUCUGGAAAGAAAAAUGGGAGAAAGAGAUCCGUAGUCUGAUAGACAAGACUUCACAAAUAGAGAAAGAGCUGGAAGCAUCUAAUAGAAGGGCAGACAAAGCUGAAAAGCAAAACCAGUCCCUAAUGACCAGAAUUAAGCAACUGGAAGACAGUGAGCAUGCAAAACAGCAAGAAUUAAUAAAGCAAAGCCAAAAAUAUAUAGAAUUAGAAGAAAACAUAAAAUAUCCCACCAAAAAGGUCACAGACCUGGAAAACAGAGGAAGAAGAGACAACGUGAGAAUUAUUGGUCUGCCCGAAAAACCAGAGAUAAACAAAAACCUCGAUGCUAUACUAUAGGAGAUUAUAGAAGAAAAUUGCCCACAUGUAGAGGAGCAAGGGGGCAAAAAAAAAAUAGAAAGGGUUCAUAGAAGACCCUCUAUACUAAAUCCCCCCAAAAUCCCAAGAAUGUAAUCUCCAAAUUCAAGAGCUUCCAAGAAAAGGAAAAAAAAAAUCCUACAAGAAGCUAAGAAGAGAAGCUUCAGAUAUAAGGGGGCUCCCAUAAGGAUAACACAGGACUUAGCUGCUAACACACUAAGAGACCUCAAAGCAUGGAACACGAUAUUUAGAAAGGCAAGAGAAGUGGAUCUCCAACCAAGAAUCAACUACCCAGCAAAACUGACUAUAUAUUUCCAGUGGAAAAUAUGGGCAUUCAACAAAAUAGAAGAUUUAUAAGCAUUUGCUAAGAAAAGACCAAAACUUAGUGAAAAUUUUGAUAUCCAAUCACAGAAAGCAAGAGAAACAUGAAAAGGUAAAUAUGAAAGAAAGGGAAAAGGAGAUAAAUCUUAUCUUUUUCUAUAAGUCAAACUCUCUUCUAUAAGGACUACAUUUACAUCAAAUUAUAUAUAUUAAUAUGUAGGGAAAAUGUACUGUGUAACUCUCAAAAAUUGUAUGCACUAUAAGAGUAUUUAGAAGAAUCAUGCAUAGGGAAAGAUUGGGGCAUCAAGAAGAUUUGGUGAA